rnacentral:rRNA from 1 species
CACGUAGGCGGCUCAUCAAGCGUCUUGUGAAAUCCCCCGGCUCAACCGGGGAAUUGCUGGGCGAACUGAUGGGCUUGAGACAGGCAGGGGCGAGUGGAACUCUUGGUGGAGCGGUGGAAUGCGUAGAUAUCAAGAGGAACACCAGAGGCGAAGGCGACUCGCUGGGCCUGUUCUGACGCUGAGGUGCGAAAGCUAGGGUAGCGAACAGGAUUAGAUACCCUGGUAGUCC